UCCCCCCAAUUAUAUAUAUAUAUAUAUAUAUAUAUAUAUAUAUAUAUAUAUAUUUGUUGGGGGGGGA